rnacentral:rRNA from 1 species
UGGGGGAUAUUGCGCAAUGGGGGCAACCCUGACGCAGCAACGCCGCGUGAAGGAUGAAGGUUUUCGGAUUGUAAACUUCUUUUAUUAAGGACGAAACUUGACGGUACUUAAUGAAUAAGCUCCGGCUAACUACGUGCCAGCAGCCGCGGUAAUACGUAGGGAGCAAGCGUUGUCCGGAUUUACUGGGUGUAAAGGGUGCGUAGGCGGCUUUGCAAGUCAGAUGUGAAAUCUAUGGGCUCAACCCAUAAACUGCAUUUGAAACUGUAGAGCUUGAGUGAAGUAGAGGCAGGCGGAAUUCCCCGUGUAGCGGUGAAAUGCGUAGAGAUGGGGAGGAACACCAGUGGCGAAGGCGGCCUGCUGGGCUUUAACUGACGCUGAGGCUCGAAAGCUAGGGUAGCGAACG